GUUUUGGACAUUCCUCCCAUGACAGGGGCUUGCUAUGCACUCAGAAGGUGGAAGCGGGAAGGUCAGGAGUUAAAGGCCGUCCUCAGCUACGUGGUGAGUUUAACUGCCUGGGCUGCACGAAACCCUGUCUCCGAGAAGCAAAACAAAAAUGCACUUGAAGGCGAUCUUUGUAUGUGAGUAGGAUAUCUGUGUGACUACAUAAGUGUAUAUCAUACCAACUUAUUUCCAGAUGGUUGCACUAGAAUGGCUUGGGACAAAAUAGAACUUUAAAGUUAAAACCAGAUUUGCAGGUCCAAGUCCAAACACUUUUCUAUUGGUGGGGGGGAAGGAUGAAAAUUGUUUAGAAUUACCAAGGACAUUUAGCCAGGUAUCACCAAAGGCCUGCAGGUCUGUGGCAUGGUUCCAGGUUAACUAUGCAGUGACCCCAGUAGUUGUAAUGGACAUUUUCCUUCUCUGAGGCUCUGAACUUCACUCCACACUACUCUCUCACCCCUUUAAAAGAAUCACACUUUACAACUGUGGGAAGUCCUGCUUAGGGUCAUGACAAACCAUGAUAAUCAUGGUAAUAAGAGUAGCCCAGAAGCAACCAAGACUCAUCUACUGUGACCCUGCCUCUUCUGGGCAGCUUCCUGCCCAGGACUUUGGGAUGAGCACAAUGAGGUCUGGAGGACCUCAGACAGACGUUCCUGCUCCUAACAGCACACCUCCCCUUUCCUGUGAGUCUCCAUGGAAUAGGCCUGGCUGGCAUAGAAGUCUCCUCAUUCCAAAGACCUUUUGGAAUGUGUCUCUUGAGUUACCUUAGGAACCACCUGAGAAAACCAAUCCCUUUCAAUUCUGAGACCACUUCUGUCCCCACAUGGAACACCAGCACCUGAGCACCCUUUGGCAGAUAGAAAG
rnacentral:lncRNA from 1 species